AUCCAACUGAUGAGUACCAAAUAGAACGAAACGCGUGUCCUGGAU
rnacentral:hammerhead_ribozyme from 1 species